ACUUAAAUUGAAGAGUUUGAUCAUGGCUCAGAUUGAACGCUGGCGGCAGGCCUAACACAUGCAAGUCGAGCGGUAGCACAGAGAGCUUGCUCUCGGGUGACGAGCGGCGGACGGGUGAGUAAUGUCUGGGAAACUGCCUGAUGGAGGGGGAUAACUACUGGAAACGGUAGCUAAUACCGCAUAAUGUCGCAAGACCAAAGUGGGGGACCUUCGGGCCUCAUGCCAUCAGAUGUGCCCAGAUGGGAUUAGCUAGUAGGUGGGGUAACGGCUCACCUAGGCGACGAUCCCUAGCUGGUCUGAGAGGAUGACCAGCCACACUGGAACUGAGACACGGUCCAGACUCCUACGGGAGGCAGCAGUGGGGAAUAUUGCACAAUGGGCGCAAGCCUGAUGCAGCCAUGCCGCGUGUGUGAAGAAGGCCUUCGGGUUGUAAAGCACUUUCAGCGGGGAGGAAGGCGUUAAGGUUAAUAACCUUGGCGAUUGACGUUACCCGCAGAAGAAGCACCGGCUAACUCCGUGCCAGCAGCCGCGGUAAUACGGAGGGUGCAAGCGUUAAUCGGAAUUACUGGGCGUAAAGCGCACGCAGGCGGUCUGUCAAGUCGGAUGUGAAAUCCCCGGGCUUAACCUGGGAACUGCAUUCGAAACUGGCAGGCUAGAGUCUUGUAGAGGGGGGUAGAAUUCCAGGUGUAGCGGUGAAAUGCGUAGAGAUCUGGAGGAAUACCGGUGGCGAAGGCGGCCCCCUGGACAAAGACUGACGCUCAGGUGCGAAAGCGUGGGGAGCAAACAGGAUUAGAUACCCUGGUAGUCCACGCCGUAAACGAUGUCGAUUUGGAGGUUGUGCCCUUGAGGCGUGGCUUCCGGAGCUAACGCGUUAAAUCGACCGCCUGGGGAGUACGGCCGCAAGGUUAAAACUCAAAUGAAUUGACGGGGGCCCGCACAAGCGGUGGAGCAUGUGGUUUAAUUCGAUGCAACGCGAAGAACCUUACCUGGUCUUGACAUCCACAGAACUUUCCAGAGAUGGAUUGGUGCCUUCGGGAACUGUGAGACAGGUGCUGCAUGGCUGUCGUCAGCUCGUGUUGUGAAAUGUUGGGUUAAGUCCCGCAACGAGCGCAACCCUUAUCCUUUGUUGCCAGCGGUUCGGCCGGGAACUCAAAGGAGACUGCCAGUGAUAAACUGGAGGAAGGUGGGGAUGACGUCAAGUCAUCAUGGCCCUUACGACCAGGGCUACACACGUGCUACAAUGGCAUAUACAAAGAGAAGCGACCUCGCGAGAGCAAGCGGACCUCAUAAAGUAUGUCGUAGUCCGGAUUGGAGUCUGCAACUCGACUCCAUGAAGUCGGAAUCGCUAGUAAUCGUAGAUCAGAAUGCUACGGUGAAUACGUUCCCGGGCCUUGUACACACCGCCCGUCACACCAUGGGAGUGGGUUGCAAAAGAAGUAGGUAGCUUAACCUUCGGGAGGGCGCUUACCACUUUGUGAUUCAUGACUGGGGUGAAGUCGUAACAAGGUAACUGUAGGGGAACCUGCGGUUGGAUCACCUCCUUACCUUAAAGAA
rnacentral:rRNA from 1 species